rnacentral:hammerhead_ribozyme from 1 species
GUCCAGCUGACGAGUCCCAAAUAGGACAAAACGCACGUCCUGGAU